rnacentral:rRNA from 1 species
CCUACGGGAGGCAGCAGUGGGGAAUAUUGCACAAUGGGGGAAACCCUGAUGCAGCGACGCCGCGUGAGUGAAGACGGAAUUCGUGAUGGAAAGCUCUAUCAGCAGGGGAGAAAAUGACGGUACCUGAGUAAUAAGCCCCGGCUUACUUCGUGACAGCAGCCGCGGUCACACGUAGGGGGCCAGCGUUAUCCGGAUUUACUGGGUGUAAAGGGAGCGUAGACGGCAGUGUAAGUCUGGAGUGAAAGGCUGGGGCUCAACCCGCAGACUGCUAUGGAAACUGUACGGCUGGAGUACAGGUGAGGUAAGUGGAAUUCGUAGUGUAGCGGUGAAAUGCGUAGAUAUCACACAGAACACCGAUUGCGAAGGCAGCUCACGAAUCCGCCAUUGACGCUGAUGCACGAAAGUGUGGGUAUCAAACAGGAUUAGAUACCCGGGUAGUC